rnacentral:rRNA from 1 species
AUACGGAGGAUCCGAGCGUUAUUCGGAUUUAUUGGGUUUAAAGGGUGCGCAGGCGGCCAUUUAAGUCAGCGGUUAAAUCGUGGGGCUCAACCCCAUUCUGCCGUUGAUACUGGGUGGCUUGAUUGCGGUCGAGGUUGGCGGAAUUCGUUGUGUAGCGGUGAAAUGCAUAGAUAUGACGAAGAACACCGAUUGCGUAGGCAGCUGACCAGACCGCAAAUGACGCUCAUGCACGAAAGUGCGGGGAUCGAACAGGAUUAGAUACCCUGGUAGUCCGCACAGUAAACGAUGAAUACUUGUUUUCGGCGAUAUAAUGUCGGAGGCAAAGCGAAAGCGAUAAGUAUUCCACCUGGGGAGUACGCCGGCAACGGUGAAACUCAAAGGAAUUGACGGGG